AAAAAAAGCUUUGUACUUCCGAGAAACCUUUGUACUAACGCCAUGAUUGCCAAGCAGACACCUAUCAGUCGCCAAUCCUUUGUACUUCCGAGAAACCUUUAGUUUCAAUCUUAACAUUCAGCAAAAUGAGAGCUAAGUUCACGAAAUUAUUGGCCCCACGUUUACAGGACUCUGAAUCAACACAGACUCGGUUGGUUCAUUCAUGAACAUUUCAGACUUGGCCGAAGAAUAUCAGAUUGGGUGCUUAGAAGUGGAACUAAUUAUGAAGUCUUGCCAUUACGGUUAAAAAUACAGGCAUUCAAUGUGGAGCACGAUUACAAUCACAAUGAUGGGAUUUUGAUGGGGGGGGGGGGAGCUGUGGCUAAAGCUGCGUCAGAAUUUGAGAGCAGAAAUUAUGGCAUGGCUCCGGCAAAAGAGUUGUUAGUUAAUGAGAUGCUAAAGAGGGUUAAGGUUGAAGAUGGAGAUGAGAAUGAUUGUAUGGUAUAUUUGGAGGAACUUAAAGUUGGAGCAGAUACUUCUCAGAUGCUUUGCUGUCCUACUUUUAUUGUUAUUGCAUCCAAAAGUGGUUGAAGCAAAGUCAUUGUUGCCCUAUUUGCCGGUUCGAGAUGCCAGCCAAUUAGAUAAAGGUGAGAGGAAGGAUUGGCUUCUUUUGUUUGAAGCAUCAACGCAAGGAUAACUACAAUCAUAACUUGGAAAGCAAGUUUCACAUCAAGGUUGAGAUUUAAUCCAUGAAUACCGCCACUUUGAUGAGAGAUCACUAAUUCUUACGGUCUCUCUCCUUGGGAGAAUGGCAAGAGGAUGCCUUCAGUACCAUCAGGAAGUUGACUGAUUUUAUCAUCAGCCCAUCUGAAAAUAGAAAAUAUCUCAUCUAAAGUUCAGUGCAUAUGGACCGGGCUUAACUGACUCAGCAGACCGGGCCACUAGUCCCAAAUGUAUUUUAACUUUUAAGAUACUUGUAAGGGUUUGAAUGGAUCGGUAUAAUCUUUAAAUCAGAUUUUAAUUCUGAAAUUAUAAAAAGAAAUAAUAUUUAGUAUAUUGGCAGCA